UACGAAGGGGGCUAGCGUUGCUCGGAAUUACUGGGCGUAAAGGGCGCGUAGGCGGCGGUCUCAGUCAGGCGUGAAAGCCCCGGGCUCAACCUGGGAACUGCGCUUGAGACGGGAUUGCUUGAGGGCGAGAGAGGGUGGUGGAAUUCCCAGUGUAGAGGUGAAAUUCGUAGAUAUUGGGAAGAACACCGGUGGCGAAGGCGGCCACCUGGCUCGUUUCUGACGCUGAGGCGCGAAAGCGUGGGGAGCAAACAGG
rnacentral:rRNA from 1 species